UCAGUCUAUUGGGGGCUGCUGAGUGAAGAGCCUGGUUGGGAGUGUGUGCAACCGUAGAAAGAGAAAGAAAAGAUCUUGCAAGAGUCUCAUAAAGAUCACGAAAGCAUAAAUGACAGUGCAGCAAAGGACAGCGUAGAGGACACUAGUGAAUCCGAAUCAUUUCCUCCAGCAGGGUGUGGUGUAGAUGUAGAAAGCUGUCAGACAGCAGUCCAAACACCGAAAUGGAGAUUGCCUUACAAAGGCGUGGCUGUGCAGGUGAAUGAUAGCACACCCAAAAAACUUUCAAAGAUGCAGCUGUGCAAACGGAUGAAAUUGGCUCACCUUGCACAAACUCAACAUCUCCAGAACGAGAUGACGAUCAGAAGCAGAACAAUCCUUAAAACCAGUUCAAGAUGAGAUGUUGAUACAAAGUGAGGAAGUUGAGGAAAAUGAAAACAAGCUGGACCCAUUAUCUGACCCUGACACCUACCAAUCUGAUUGUUCAGAAACUUCAGAAGCUGCUGAAGAAAUCUGUAACCCCCAAAUACAGCUGAGGAGAGAAAGUUUAUAGUUUUUGAAAGUCAGCUAUUACAAUUGUUUAUAAUUGCUUUUAUAAUUAUCGCUUGCUUCAGGAUCGUAUUGGUAAGGAUUUAUGGUUUUAAAUGAGGUUAAGCAAUUAAAAUCAUAACAAUUGCUACGUAUGGUGGAGUGGAAACAGCAUGGUACUUGUUUUGUAUCUGUUUGUUCGUUUGUUUUGCUUAAAAAAAGUGUUUUGUGUUUAAAUCUUUUUAUUUAUUAUAAACCGGCGCAACAGCACAUUUCACUCACCAAAACCGUCUGUCUAUUUCCUGGGCUGAUGUCACCACAUGAGGCAUUGUGUCACAGGGAUAUAUCGUUUGUGAUACAACUGUGCCCUUAUAUUUAUGAUGCAUAAAGAUUUACACAUUAAGUACACUGUAACUAUGCAUAAUAACAUUGAAAUUAUGUAAUAGUACACAUGUAUUUAAUAAGUAACUACUAUGUAAAUACACAGUCAUUAGACACUGUUAAUGUAAAGUGUUAUCUGAUCCUGAGGAAAACUUGAGAAAUGUAACCUAGGAGAAUGUUUGUAAACAUUCUUCAAAUCAAAUAUUUCGAAAAAAACAUUCCUUUAAACAGUCCUGAAAGUUUUGUGAAUAGGGCGCACGAUAGAUGCAUAAAGCAUAUAAAAGGGCAGCAGUGUGGAGUAGUGGUUAGAGCUCUGGACUCUUGACCGGAGGGUUGUGGGUUCAAUCCCCAGUGGGGGACACUGCUGUUGUACCCUUGAGCAAGGUACUUUACCUAGAUUGCUCCAGUAAAAACCCAACUGUAAAAAAUGGGUAAUUGUAUGUAAAAAUAAUGUGAUAUCUGUAUAAUGUGAAAUAAUGUAUAAUGUGAUAUCUUGUAACAAUUGUAAGUC